AAACCGGUGCCAACUAAUCUAAUUAGCACCGGUUCAAACCGGUGCCAACCAAAAAAAAGAAACAAAAAACGAAGAAAGCAAUAGAGUUGGCACCGGUACGUCUUAAACCGGUGCCCACUUUAGUAGUUAGCACCGGUGCCAUUAAAAAAACCGGGCUUCUCAGCUCGUAUUUCUUCUUCUUUUCUUUCCCCAUGAUUUUUCAACUUGUUUUUUCCCUCAGCUCGUUCUCACCUUCUAUUCCACGCCACCACCUCCGAAUUCCCACCUUCUCCAUUGAAGCCGUUUUCGAGCUCUCUCACUCCAUUGAAGCAGCUGCAUGCACCUCCUUCUCUCUCCAUAUCUCUCCUCCAUUGAACUCGUGCUCUCUAUCCUCCAUUAAGCGCAUUCUGAGUUUUCUCACCUCCAUUGAAGCAGCUUCGAGGGUUCUGGUUUUAUUUCUAUUUUUUGUCAAACAAAAUAAGUAGGAGAAGGAGAGAGUAGGUCCUACCCGCCGCCACUCACCCUUCGCCGGCCACCCUCCGUUCCCCUCAGCCGUCCUUCGUGCGUCGGCUACCGACCACCAGGAAGUUUAUGGGAAAUGCCGUUGACAUGUUGUCAAUAAUGCUCUAAACUAUAUCAGGAAUGAAGUGAUCCCUUACAUUGCUAAUGGUGUGAGAGGUGUCACCAGCAAUCCCGCGAUUUUCCAGAAAGCCAUUUCAUUCUUCUUCAGAUGCUUACAAUCAUCAAUUCAGAGUGAGGAUAAUGACUCAAGGUGCUAAAAAGAAGAAACGGCAGCAAAAGAAAAAGAAUUCAAAGGAUGAAAUUUCAGAGGAUAAAAUAAUAGAGAAGAUUUCAGCUUUGUUGGAGCAAGAAAGAUUACAAGAGUGCUUGGAUUUUAUCAUUUCUCUUGAUGAUGAGUGGUUGAAAAAUUUAAAAGUCUAUUCUGCGAAAGUGCAUGUACUUGCAAGUUUGAGACGGUUUGAAGGGGUAUUGGCUUUGCAAAAACAACUCGAAGAAUUUGGACAUAAAACGACUUUGGCACUUAGUGAAUGGUUUACGUUUGCUUAUGCCAACAGAAAGCAAAAUAAUAUUUUGGAAGCAUAUCUUCUUUAUAAAUAUGUGCAUGAUCAGAAGGGUGCAGUGCAUGUAGAUGAUGAAAGAUUCAAAGUUUGUCUCAAAUGGAUAAAAAGACUACAACCGAAAAGUUAACCAGAUUUGGAUAGAAUUGCAGUGGAAAGAGCUAGUAAAUUUUUGGAUGAUGAGCGUGCUGCCUCCUCUUCCACCAAGGCUCCUGCCUCCUCUUCCACCAAGGCUCCUGCCUCCUCUUCCACCAAGGCUGCCACCUCUUCCACCCAAGGCUGCAUCCACCCGACCAAGGCUGCAUCCACUCCGACCAAGGCGGCAUCCACUUCGACCUUGGUUGCGUCCGCUUCGACUUUGGCGAUCCCUUCUUUGACCUUGGAUCCCUCAUCUUUGGGUGUGGAUGCCUCUUCCCAAAAAAUGAUGAAGUUUACAGAGGAUGGUGUGAUAUACUUUGAAAUGACCCAGCUUGAUGAAUUUUCAUAUCUUGGUGUAAUGAAGAUAGGCGGGAGUUCUUUUCCCAAGUCGUAUAUCAAAAUUGGCGAGAAUUCUACUUCAGAUGUCUCAAUUAGGCUUAAGAAAAACUCAUGCCUAUUGAAAAUUGAAUUUUUAAUGUAUUUCCACUCCCUUUCCAGUAGGGUAGCAAUUGUUGAGCCGGUCCGUCCAGUAAAAGUGUUCUUUGAAUUGAAGCUUGAAGAUUUCAGAUCGGAAGCAAUGGCUCAAACUUGUAAAAAAUUGGUGGGAAUAUAUCAAAGACGACUUUCAAUCAAUAUUUCGAGGCGUAAUAUGUGGCAUGCUUGCCAUAUAUUCAGAUCAAGAAGUCCGUAGUGAUCUGGAAAAAUCACUUUUUAUGUCACUGAGGAGGGAGAAGCCAAAAUAUUCCAUAUUUCUCAAGAAAAAUUUACAUUCAGUCAAGCGCAAAAAGAAGUGUAUGACUUGUUGUCCAUUAUUGAAGGAGUCAUUACUUUGAUAAGACCAAGAUCAAUACCAGAUUUGGAAACUUGGCGUAAAGAAUUUGAGCUAUCUACUGACCUGCCUUUAGAAUUGCGUCAUUUUUUAAAAAGCUUAAGAGUCAGGAAAAUACAUGAUAACAUUCAUCCAAUGUUGUUGAUUGAUCACCCGUUUAUGUGGUCGAUAAAUCAUCGGGUUUCUUUCAUCCGGUGUCUUGAAGAAGCUAUUAAAGAAAGGUUAAUCGAUGAGAACGAUUUCAGUGAGCAAUUAAAAUCGAAUUUUAAGGCUGCAAAUUGGAGGAUUGAAGUCUCAAAUGACAUGUUAUUGACAGCAAUCUACAACUACAAAGGAUCUGACUUUUAUGUUGAAACAUCUCGUGUCAUUAAUUUUAUUCAUGCAGUGUUUUCCCUGCUAAUGACUAUCAAUAUGAUACUGUACGCGGGAAAUAUGGCGGUUUGACUCUUGAGGAAAGGGAAAGUCUAAUUACAAAAGUGUUUCCUUCGAUAUAUACAACACUUUAUGACACCGUGUGUGAUUAUGCAAAAAAUUCUAGUUGGGCAUAUACGAAGUCAUUUUCAGAUGCUCUUAAAGAUUUUCAAGUUGUGGAUCUCAAUAUUGAUUUCCUGUCCUAGUAAGCAUUUGAUAACGAUUUGGGGCUAUUUUGGUGUGGUGUUUUCAGGUUUAUUUUAGACAAUUUUGUGACUGUCAUAUGGGCUAGUUAGUGGUUUUUUUAGGUUACAUUGUGUGUGAAUAGUGUUUGAGGUGUGUGGGCAAAGGUGUCGUAUUAUUGCUUGUGUGUCUUGGACGAUGUGAGUAUGUGAUGGGUGUUGCACAGGUGAUGGUUGUCGAGUGGUAUUGUGUAUGUGAUGGGUGUUGAGUGGUAUUGUGUGGGUGAUGGGUGUUAAGUGUGUUUUGGUAUUGGGUAUUAAGCAUGUCAUCUAUGAGUUAAUUUGUAUGUUUGGAAUUUUUGAUACUCCUUGUUACAUGAGUUGUAAUGGACUAGAA